UUGAACGCUGGCGGCAUGCCUUACACAUGCAAGUCGAACGGCAGCACGGGUGCUUGCACCUGGUGGCGAGUGGCGAACGGGUGAGUAAUACAUCGGAACAUGUCCUGUAGUGGGGGAUAGCCCGGCGAAAGCCGGAUUAAUACCGCAUACGAUCUACGGAUGAAAGCGGGGGACCUUCGGGCCUCGCGCUAUAGGGUUGGCCGAUGGCUGAUUAGCUAGUUGGUGGGGUAAAGGCCUACCAAGGCGACGAUCAGUAGCUGGUCUGAGAGGACGACCAGCCACACUGGGACUGAGACACGGCCCAGACUCCUACGGGAGGCAGCAGUGGGGAAUUUUGGACAAUGGGCGAAAGCCUGAUCCAGCAAUGCCGCGUGUGUGAAGAAGGCCUUCGGGUUGUAAAGCACUUUUGUCCGGAAAGAAAUCCUUGGCUCUAAUACAGUCGGGGGAUGACGGUACCGGAAGAAUAAGCACCGGCUAACUACGUGCCAGCAGCCGCGGUAAUACGUAGGGUGCGAGCGUUAAUCGGAAUUACUGGGCGUAAAGCGUGCGCAGGCGGUUUGCUAAGACCGAUGUGAAAUCCCCGGGCUCAACCUGGGAACUGCAUUGGUGACUGGCAGGCUAGAGUAUGGCAGAGGGGGGUAGAAUUCCACGUGUAGCAGUGAAAUGCGUAGAGAUGUGGAGGAAUACCGAUGGCGAAGGCAGCCCCCUGGGCCAAUACUGACGCUCAUGCACGAAAGCGUGGGGAGCAAACAGGAUUAGAUACCCUGGUAGUCCACGCCCUAAACGAUGUCAACUAGUUGUUGGGGAUUCAUUUCCUUAGUAACGUAGCUAACGCGUGAAGUUGACCGCCUGGGGAGUACGGUCGCAAGAUUAAAACUCAAAGGAAUUGACGGGGACCCGCACAAGCGGUGGAUGAUGUGGAUUAAUUCGAUGCAACGCGAAAAACCUUACCUACCCUUGACAUGGUCGGAAUCCUGCUGAGAGGCGGGAGUGCUCGAAAGAGAACCGGCGCACAGGUGCUGCACGGCUGUCGUCAGCUCGUGUCGUGAGAUGUUGGGUUAAGUCCCGCAACGAGCGCAACCCUUGUCCUUAGUUGCUACGCAAGAGCACUCUAAGGAGACUGCCGGUGACAAACCGGAGGAAGGUGGGGAUGACGUCAAGUCCUCAUGGCCCUUAUGGGUAGGGCUUCACACGUCAUACAAUGGUCGGAACAGAGGGUUGCCAACCCGCGAGGGGGAGCUAAUCCCAGAAAACCGAUCGUAGUCCGGAUUGCACUCUGCAACUCGAGUGCAUGAAGCUGGAAUCGCUAGUAAUCGCGGAUCAGCAUGCCGCGGUGAAUGCGUUCCCGGGUCUUGUACACACCGCC
rnacentral:rRNA from 1 species